UACGGGGGGAGCAAGCGUUGUUCGGAUUUACUGGGCGUAAAGGGCGCGUAGGCGGCCAGCACAAGUCGAGUGUGAAAUCCCCGAGCUUAACUUGGGAAUUGCGCUCGAAACUACGUGGCUCGAGUGUGGCAGAGGAAGGUGGAAUUCCACGUGUAGCGGUGAAAUGCGUAGAGAUGUGGAGGAACACCGAUGGCGAAGGCAGCCUUCUGGGCCAACACUGACGCUCAUGCACGAAAGCGUGGGGAGCAAACAGG
rnacentral:rRNA from 1 species